GUCAGGAUGGCUGACCGGCUUAAAGCGUUGCGUUCAGGUUGCAGUCUUCAUGAAUGGGCGCGGGUUUGAAUCCCACUUCUGACA